rnacentral:rRNA from 1 species
UACGUAGGUGGCAAGCGUUGUCCGGAUUUAUUGGGUUUAAAGGGUGCGUAGGCGGCUUUGUAAGUCAGUAGUGAAAUACCCCAGCUCAACUGGGGGGGUGCUAUUGAUACUGCAUGGCUUGAGUACAGAUGAGGUAGGCGGAAUUGACGGUGUAGCGGUGAAAUGCAUAGAUACUAUCAAGAACACCGAUUGCGAAGGCAGCUUACUAGGCUGUAACUGACGCUGAGGCACGAAAGCGUGGGGAUCAAACAGG